GUGGGGAAUAUUGGACAAUGGGCGCAAGCCUGAUCCAGCCAUGCCGCGUGAGUGAUGAAGGCCUUAGGGUUGUAAAGCUCUUUUGUCCGGGAAGAUAAUGACUGUACCGGAAGAAUAAGCCCCGGCUAACUUCGUGCCAGCAGCCGCGGUAAUACGAAGGGGGCUAGCGUUGUUCGGAAUCACUGGGCGUAAAGCGCACGUAGGCGGACCAUUAAGUCAGGGGUGAAAGCCUGGAGCUCAACUCCAGAACUGCCUUUGAUACUGAUGGUCUCGAGUUCGGAAGAGGUUGGUGGAACUGCGAGUGUAGAGGUGAAAUUCGUAGAUAUUCGCAAGAACACCAGUGGCGAAGGCGGCCAACUGGUCCGAUACUGACGCUGAGGUGCGAAAGCGUGGGGAGCAAACAGGAUUAGAUACCCGUGUAGUCC
rnacentral:rRNA from 1 species